GUGAGGAAUAUUGGUCAAUGGGCGAGAGCCUGAACCAGCCAAGUCGCGUGAAGGAAGAAGGAUCUAUGGUUCGUAAACUUCUUUUGCAGGGGAAUAAAGUGCAGGACGUGUCCUGUUUUGUAUGUACCCUGAGAAUAAGGAUCGGCUAACUCCGUGCCAGCAGCCGCGGUAAUACGGAGGAUCCGAGCGUUAUCCGGAUUUAUUGGGUUUAAAGGGUGCGUAGGUGGUUUGAUAAGUCAGCGGUGAAAGUUUGCAGCUUAACUGUAAAAAUGCCGUUGAAACUGUCUGACUUGAGUGUAAAUGAGGUAGGCGGAAUGCGUGGUGUAGCGGUGAAAUGCAUAGAUAUCACGCAGAACUCCGAUUGCGAAGGCAGCUUACUAAGCUACAACUGACACUGAAGCACGAAAGCGUGGGGAUCAAACAGGAUUAGAUACCCCGGUAGUCC
rnacentral:rRNA from 1 species